rnacentral:lncRNA from 1 species
CUACUACCACUACUACUACUACUACUACUCAAAUGUAUCUCAAAUGAUAAGGAGGGGAAUGCAGUGUUUGGGGAGAUAAGAUUCCAUUUUACAGCCUUGGGUGUGAAAUCUUAAGCUCCCUUUCAUAAUUUGCAACAAUUGCAAAUUAUAUUUGUGCAAUAUCAAGAAUAUCUAGAAAAUCAUCACUGAUGAUGUGCUUUGCUAUCAAUACACUACCCUCAAUAAGACCUCUCUCAGUAAGUACUCAUCUAUUGUGUCUCUUACACACUAUACUACACCUGACAUGCCCUCUCACUAAUAUGCUAAAGAAAUCAAAGUUAUUUAGGACAGAGAUACACAUAAUAUUGCAGUUGUUAAAGUGCUUGAUGAAUGAUUACCCUUAAACAAAUGCAAAAAUACACGUUUUUUCUUGGCAAGGUUGAUAUUUUUAUCAGAUUUAUUAAAUAUAGACAUUGUUUUACUUCUGAUCAUAACUACUGAAUCUAUCAGUAAAUAUUUUACAAAACAUUCCUAUAUAUAAUAUCAGAGUAAUGCAAUGAAACUAGAUAAUUUCUAAAUAAAAUUCAAUUCAAGUCCAAAUCUAUAUCAUUAAAACUGUUAAUCUGACUUUUUUAACCAGUAUGGAAGCAAGAUGGAUGAUAAUUAGUUCAAGACAGACAACAGCAACUAACUAAAUUGCCACUAAACACAAUUUUUACAAAAUUUAUUUCUUCUUUUUCACUGACGAACCAAUGUAAGUCAGCAAAGGGGUUCCUGACACAGAAAAACAUUAAAUAAUUCAAUUUCAGAUAAUUAGUCAGACAUCAAAAGAACACACAAAGGAUCUACAUUUUGUAAAGAGAACAGGGCCUGUAAGUAAAAUGAUUUUUGUUUAAUUGUAAAUAAUAUGCAAAUCAUAAACUCAUGAUUUUGUGUGAUUUAAAUCAAGUUUAGUUUGGAUUUUGGAGUUAUAUGAUUGAACAAUGUUUGUUCUGCAAUACAGGAACACACCCCAAUUCACAUAACAUGCAUUUAGUUUAUUUUCUUAUGGUGCACCAUUGAAAUUACAUAUAUAUGAUACAUACAUAGUCUGGAAGGAAUUGAACUGUGUAAAAUGAAUUAUAUGUAAUACAUACCCUUAUACCCACUGGCAUACAUGUAGAUUUUUGCAGCAUAAUUUUAAAUUCCAGGAAUAGGCAGUAAAGUCGAGAUGUAAAAAACAAUGUUCUCCCUUCAUUUGGUACACAUGAACAAUUGAAAAUAAUAAAUAUUUUGUUCUUUUGAUCAGAUUUGGUUCACUUUUCACAAAUAAAUGGCAGUUAUUUUUCACAUUUAGAAUAAUGAGAACCUUGACUACUACUUAUGAGGGACCAUCAACUUGCAUACAGAUUAGACAGUGGGAGUAGUCUGUCAUUCACUUGACAUGGUGGUAGCUAGCUGUCACAUCAUUAACAAAACAUCCUGUUUUUCACUUUUAUGAAAUUGAUAAAAAUGAUUCCAUAUGAUUAUCAGAGAAUGUAUAAAUGUUAGGGUCUUGAUUAAACAUGGUCAAUGCUGCGAUUAGUGGGAAAAGAAGUAAAACUAUGUACCUAAUGGCUAUAUAAUUUGAAACUAUUUUCAUUUGAUUAAACUACAAUUAUAUCGCCCUGUAAAGUAUAGAGAGUAGGUUAAAGAAAACUUCUAUACAUUCAAUUACCUUUUCUGUCACUGCAUUAACUGUUUGGAAACCUACUGUGAUCUUAAUUACAAGAAUGACUUCAUGUUUUCUAACUUGAAAUGGACAUGAACAAAAUAUGAGGAAAAAAUGAAAGCAUGUGCAUACGACAAUGUAAUAUACUAGUAUAAUAAAAUAAGAUAAUUUCAAAUAACAAUGGAAAUGAUAAUUUAUAGCCUAAACAUGUCAGAAAUAAUCACAUAACUAUGUGAAUAAUUCAUCUUGAUUAAUGGAAUGUCAAUAAAACAAGAACAAAAUAUUAAAUAAUAAAACAACCAAUUUUCUCAAUUUUUUACAAGAAAUUUAAAUAAAUGAAUGAUAUCUUUAUUAGAAAUUAGAAAUUCAGUAUUGCAAUGAAACAACUUCCCUUUAAUAAGAAAUCCAUAAGAAUCUACACAACAAAUGAGACAUAUAUAGUAUAUAAAAAUGAAAUAUCAAUUCAAUGAAUUUACUUUUCGUGAUAUUUGAUUGGUCGAUUGGAUAUUAAAUUCAUAUGACCCCGACCUUAAAAUACACAUAUAUAGUGAACAGAAAAGGUAAAAUGUCUGGUGGUUUAACAAAGGAAUGAAAAGUGAACAUAAAUAUUAAUUUUCAAGCUCAAAAUAUUCUUUUUUCAAAUUAAGCACAUCAAAAUAAAAUACAAACCAAAGAAUGAUAAUUGCAUUUUGAUAUUAAGGCCAACAAAAAUUGUUAUGAUGAUGAGAAUAAAUAUCAACAAAAUAAACAUGAAUAAUAAUACAUUGUGUUGCGAAAAAAGAGAAAAUAGUUUUCUUCUGGCAAAUAUCAAUUUACACUUCCAUAGAGAAAUACAAAUAGAUAUCCAAACAGAUGAAUCCAUCAUGAAGGGGUGUUUUCAAUACAGAUUCUUAAUAUAGCAUUCAACAAUUGAAAUAGUUGCACCAAGUACUAUAUAUUUACUAAACAUGAAUAAACUUCUAACCUUGGUGUGAUGAUUUUUUUUUAGUCAUUGUAGAAUUAAUUUAGACAAAUACAUUGGUCUUUUUUUUCAUUUCUGGUAUUCCAAUAGAUUUGCCAUCUGAAUUGAAAAGUUUCACAUUUCAUUUUGAUGUAAAAAUAAAUUUCAAUAAUCUUUUGAAAGACAAGAAAGCAAGAUGUCACUCUACAAAAGCACUCUACUAUAGCAAGGUGACAAAAGUUCAAGGUCACCUUUCAAAUUCAUUUCAUUCAAAAUCUUGAGUUUAAUUUUUGGAAAAUAUUUUGGAUAUAAAAUGAUUAUUUAGCACUUCAAAAACUUGGCAUUCAAUCGCACGUGUUCUUUCAAACUUAUGGCAACAAAAUAAUUUUUUUCUCUCUAAUUAAAAUACAUUCAUUUAACUAAGAGUACAUCAUAAAUGCAUGAAUUCAUGUUAUUCACAAAAAUCAUGAAAAUGGGAAGAUCCUGAUUUAAGGAUGUUCCACAGUUAUGUUUGUGCGCAUCAUGAUCUGCGCAUAUUUUACACUGCUCGCUGACGUCACAAUGGAUGAACAGUUGAUUAAUCAGCUAGGUAUGAGCUGAUUUUUCUCUUUAUCUGCACUCUAACCGCAGAUCCGAUGUGUAAUUUUUGAAGCCAAUAAACUGGAAUUAUUCCAUGGUCCAUUUUUUUGAAAUACCUCUACAAUUUCAAAAUACUUUACUCUGCAGUGCUGUAUGAUGAAUAUGACCCCGGGUUUGAAUAAAUGGCAGAGUGGUUUGGAAUAUAUUUCCUCACAUAGAUACAAAGCAUUUGGUGCAUUUUUUUGGUGUGUGUUUUAAAAAGCACAUUUGCUCUAAUAAAAGUGUUGAAAGUUUGAAAACAAGCACAUGAACCCCUAUUUUUUUGUUUACACCUCUUAGGUAUACAUUCCUCUAUAACUUUGCAAAGUUUUGUGAAAAUGACAAGGGUUUUGAAUAAAGUGCAGCAUUCAUAGUAAUUCUCAAUUUUGUUGCUGAAAUUUCAGUUUUUAGAUUAGCGCUGCUAGACUUAAAAGAGCAAACAAAUAGCAAUAUAAAUAGAUUUUCCAUCUUAAGGAUACAAUUAUUAACUAUAUUGCAAAAUAAGAUGAAAUUUUCAUUGAUUUUUUUGACCAAAUAAUAGCGGUUUAAACUCAUUGUAGUGAUCUUGUGAGCUCUAAAAUCGUCAUUUUUUUAAAUGCACAAUUCUUAAGAACAUCCAUUUGGGUGAACUUUUAAGCUCUAUAGCAAAAAAAACCAAGCACAUGUACUCAUGCUAAUUUUUGCAUAUUUGGAAUAUUCAGGUGCUAAAGAAUCUACAUGCAAAGUUUGGUGAAAAUGACAUGCAUUUCACUUUUAACUGUGGAACAUCCUUAAGGUAUCAAUUAUUAUAACAAUUAAUGAAAUCACUUAAGGUGUGCAGGUAGGCAAAUCUGGGACACAUGCAAAGAUUUGUGAUUAGGGUGUCCUAAUGGCCUUCCCUUAAAUCUCCAGAUAGAGUGCUUUUUAGGACAAUUCUUGUGGAUACUGGCCAUCAACUUUUCAAAUGAAGUGAACCCAGCCCCCCCCCC